AGUAACACGUAUCCAACCUGCCGAUGACUCGGGGAUAGCCUUUCGAAAGAAAGAUUAAUACCCGAUGGCAUAGUUCUUCCGCAUGGUGGAACUAUUAAAGAAUUUCGGUCAUCGAGUGGGGAUGCGUUCCAUUAGGUUGUUGGCGGGGUAACGGCCCACCAAGCCUUCGAUGGAUAGGGGUUCUGAGAGGAAGGUCCCCCACAUUGGAACUGAGACACGGUCCAAACUCCUACGGGAGGCAGCAUG
rnacentral:rRNA from 1 species